rnacentral:rRNA from 1 species
GACGAACGCUGGCGGCGUGCCUAAUACAUGCAAGUAGAACGCACAGUUUAUACCGUAGCUUGCUACACCAUAGACUGUGAGUUGCGAACGGGUGAGUAACGCGUAGGUAACCUGCCUGGUAGCGGGGGAUAACUAUUGGAAACGAUAGCUAAUACCGCAUAAUAUUAAUUAUUGCAUGAUAAUUAAUUGAAAGGUGCAAUUGCACCACUACCAGAUGGACCUGCGUUGUAUUAGCUAGUAGGUGAGGUAACGGCUCACCUAGGCGACGAUACAUAGCCGACCUGAGAGGGUGAUCGGCCACACUGGGACUGAGACACGGCCCAUACUCCUACGGGAGGCAGCAGUAGGGAAUCUUCGGCAAUGGACGAAAGUCUGACCGAGCAACGCCGCGUGAGUGAAGAAGGUUUUCGGAUCGUAAAGCUCUGUUGUAAGAGAAGAACGGGUGUGAGAGUGGAAAGUUCACACUGUGACGGUAUCUUACCAGAAAGGGACGGCUAACUACGUG